AACAUUCAAUGGAAAGAAUUUCGGCUCUUGUGGAACGUUCCGAGAGUUGAGAACCAUACAACCCAACUGCAUAACUAGUGAAAACGAAACACGCUUCUACCCACCACAUCACCGUAAGAUAGAAAUCCUGUUACCACCCCCUUUAUGUGCCUGUAUCUCUCCGUCUGCAUUCAAGCUGUCAAGCAGGAGUGCAGGCAGACGCAUAAGCCAAGGGAAGUGCUCCGUAUAGGUGCCGAGACAGCGUGGAAGGUAGCCUGUCAGUUUCCGUGUGUAAGCAAGAUUUUGUCAAAUAUAUUCAAACCUUAACUGAAGAUUACCAUGUCUAGGCGACUGGGAAUGACCUAAUGUGAGCUAAUAUACUGCCACACUCUCAAAACAAUGACAGACUGGCUGACAACGGGGGACUCUGGAAAUUUGGACCACCUGUGUUUAACAUACACCUAAAUCCAAGUACACGGGUGUUUUUGCAUUUUGCCCCCAUCAAAAUGCGGCCACCGUGGCUGGGAUGCUUGUUACAGCUCAAAAGAUGCGCAAAAUGUAGUGUGGCUUUGGUUGUGAAACAGAAGUCUAUUCAUGUCACCUGUACUCGAUGUGGUGGUCUCAUGAUACCAGACACAACUGACGUAUACACAUACACUAUGACUGCUGUGAAAAUAGAGGUCAUUCAACACUCAACAGGUU